GACGAACGCUGGCGGCGUGCCUAAUACAUGCAAGUUGAGCGCUGAAGGUUGGUACUUGUACCAACUGGAUGAGCAGCGAACGGGUGAGUAACGCGUGGGGAAUCUGCCUUUGAGCGGGGGACAACAUUUGGAAACGAAUGCUAAUACCGCAUAAAAACUUUAAACACAAGUUUUAAUUUUGAAAGAUGCAAUUGCAUCACUCAAAGAUGAUCCCGCGUUGUAUUAGCUAGUUGGUGAGGUAAAGGCUCACCAAGGCGAUGAUACAUAGCCGACCUGAGAGGGUGAUCGGCCACAUUGGGACUGAGACACGGCCCAAACUCCUACGGGAGGCAGCAGUAGGGAAUCUUCGGCAAUGGACGAAAGUCUGACCGAGCAACGCCGCGUGAGUGAAGAAGGUUUUCGGAUCGUAAAACUCUGUUGGUAGAGAAGAACGUUGGUGAGAGUGGAAAGCUCAUCAAGUGACGGUAACUACCCAGAAAGGGACGGCUAACUACGUG
rnacentral:rRNA from 1 species